rnacentral:rRNA from 1 species
GUCCACGCCCUAAACGAUGUCAACUGGUUGUUGGUGGGUUAAACCCAUUAGUAACGAAGCUAACGCGUGAAGUUGACCGCCUGGGGAGUACGGCCGCAAGGUUAAACUCAAAGGAAUUGACGGGGACCCGCACAAGCGGUGGAUGAUGUGGAUCAAUUCGAUGCAACGCGAAGAACCUUACCUACCCUUGACAUGCCCAGGAAGCCCGAUGAGAGUUGGGUGUGCCCCGAAAGGGAGCCUGGACACAGGUGCUGCAUGGCUGUCGU